GCCCCUGAGAAGGAAUCUGAGACACUAUUCCUAGCUCUACGGGGUGCAGCAGUUGAGGAAAUUUUACAAUGCGCGCAAGCGUGAUAAAAUAAGCCAGAGUGUUUCGUUCUACGAAACUUUUGUUUGUUGUAAAAAGGCAGACGAAUAAGGACUGGGCAAGACCGGUGCCAGCCGCCGCGGUAAUACCGGCGGUCCAAGUCGCAUCCACAUUUAUUGGGUCUAAAACAUCCGUAGCUUGUUUCGUAAGUCUCUUGUGAAAUCUCGUAUCUCAAGUACGAGGCGUGCAAGAGGUACUGCGUUGCUAGAGACCGGAAGACGUAAGGAGUACGAUUAAGGUAGCGGUAAAAUGUGUUAAUCUUAAUCGGACUAACAAUGGCGAAGGCACCUUACGAGUACGGAUCUGACAGUGAGGGAUGAAGGCUAGGGGCGCAAAAGGGAUUAGAUACCCCUGUAGUCCUAGCAGUAAACGCUGCUCACUAAACAUCGGUACCUCCUAGAGAGGUAUCGGUGCUGUAGGGAAGCCGAAGAGUGAGCUACCUGGGAAGUAUAGUCGCAAGGCCGAAACUUAAAGGAAUUGGCGGGGGAGCACAAUCG
rnacentral:rRNA from 1 species